rnacentral:misc_RNA from 1 species
GGAGGAUUUGGUUGCUUCGCAUCAAAAUGUGGUUAACAACGUUCAGGAGCCUCUUUCUGCAGUGAUUGACGAACCCAUUGGAGAGCCAGAAAAAAGAACUUAUGCUUCCAUUUUGAGAGCUGCUAGAGCGGAAUCUGCACAAUCAGCUAUUCCGCAACCAUCAUUUUAUCCAAGUGCUCCGGCUACUUCUGAGUGGAACCAUAUUCCUGAACCAGCCCCACAACAGAUCAACCCUGCACCAUCAUAUGCCCCCGAAUCUGGAGCAGAUACAGUGGAAGAAGGUUUUGGUGUGGAAGACGAAGGUG